GACGAACGCUGGCGGCGUGCUUAACACAUGCAAGUCGAACGGAAAGGCCCUGCUUUUGUGGGGUGCUCGAGUGGCGAACGGGUGAGUAACACGUGAGUAACCUGCCCUUGACUUUGGGAUAACUUCAGGAAACUGGGGCUAAUACCGGAUAUGAGCUCCUGCUGCAUGGUGGGGGUUGGAAAGUUUCGGCGGUUGGGGAUGGUCUCGCGGGUUAUCAGCUUGUUGGUGGGGUAGUGGCUUACCAGGGCUUUGACGGGUAGCCGGCCUGAGAGGGUGACCGGCCACAUUGGGACUGAGGUACGGCCCAGAAUCCAACGUGAGGCAGCAGGGGGGAAUAUUGCACAAUGGGCGGAAGCCUGAUGCAGAAACGCCGCGUGCGGGAUGACGGCCUUCUGGGGGUAAACCGCUUUCGACUGUGACGAAGCGUGAGUGACGGUAAUGGGUAAAGAAGCACCGGCUAACUACGUG
rnacentral:rRNA from 1 species